GCCGCCGUAGCUCAAUUGGCAGAGCAUCUGAUUUGUAAUCAGAAGGUUGCGGGUUCAACUCCCAUCGGCGGCUCCA
rnacentral:tRNA from 1 species